rnacentral:rRNA from 1 species
GAUGAACGCUGGCGGCGUGCCUAAUACAUGCAAGUCGAGCGAACAGACGAGGAGCUUACUCCUCUGACGUUAGCGGCGGACGGGUGAGUAACACGUGGAUAACCUACCUAUAAGACUGGGAUAACUUCGGGAAACCGGAGCUAAUACCGGAUAACAUUUUGAACCGCAUGGUUCAACAGUGAAAGACGGUCUUGCUGUCACUUAUAGAUGGAUCCGCGUCGCAUUAGCUAGUUGGUAAGGUAACGGCUUACCAAGGCAACGAUGCGUAGCCGACCUGAGAGGGUGAUCGGCCACACUGGAACUGAGACACGGUCCAGACUCCUACGGGAGGCAGCAGUAGGGAAUCUUCCGCAAUGGGCGAAAGCCUGACGGAGCAACGCCGCGUGAGUGAAGAAGGUCUUCGGAUCGUAAAACUCUGUUAUUAGGGAAGAACAAAUGUGUAAGUGACUAUGCACGUCUUGACGGUACCUAAUCAGAAAGCCACGGCUAACUACGUG